GAUGAACGCUGGCGGCGUGCCUAAUACAUGCAAGUCGAGCGAACAGACGAGGAGCUUGCUCCUCUGACGUUAGCGGCGGACGGGUGAGUAACACGUGGAUAACCUACCUAUAAGACUGGGAUAACUUCGGGAAACCGGAGCUAAUACCGGAUAAUAUAUUGAACCGCAUGGUUCAAUAGUGAAAGACGGUUUUGCUGUCACUUAUAGAUGGAUCCGCGCCGCAUUAGCUGGUUGGUAAGGUAACGGCUUACCAAGGCAACGAUGCGUAGCCGACCUGAGAGAGUGAUCGGCCACACUGGAACUGAGACACGGUCCAGACUCCUACGGGAGGCAGCAGUAGGGAAUCUUCCGCAAUGGGCGAAAGCCUGACGGAGCAACGCCGCGUGAGUGAUGAAGGUCUUCGGAUCGUAAAACUCUGUUAUUAGGGAAGAACAAAUGUGUAAGUAACUAUGCACGUCUUGACGGUACCUAAUCAGAAAGCCACGGCUAACUACGUG
rnacentral:rRNA from 1 species